AUGAGUCCCGGGCUGGCGGCCGUGGUAAGUCUGAGUGUCCACUCGUUUCUCCGGUUUAUUGGGUGUAAAGUGUUCGUAUGCUGAUUUGUAAGUCAGCGGUGAAAGCCGUCCGCUUAACUGUAGAACUGCCGUUGAUACUGCAAGUCUGGAGUACAUUUGAUGUGGGCGGAAUGCGUCAUGUAGCGGUGAAAUGCUUAGAUAUGACACGGAACACCGAUUGCGAAGGCAGCUCACAAAACUGUAACUGACGCUGAGGCACGACAGCGUGGGGAUCAAACAGGAUUAGAUACCCUUGUAGUC
rnacentral:rRNA from 1 species